rnacentral:snoRNA from 1 species
CUGCAUGUUAAACCAAGAGCUUUGGCUUGGCAAAUGGCCACAGGGUCUCCAACAACAUGCAAGAACAAGAUGGGAGGGACUUUGACAUCUCCGGCCCUUAUUAGCUGUGGAUGUCACUCGACUCUCCUACAUGC